AUUGAACGCUGGCGGCAGGCCUAACACAUGCAAGUCGAGCGGAGCGGCGGACUGGUGAGUAAUGCCUAGUACUCUGCCUUGUCGUGGGGGCUAACUUCCGGAAACGAUCGGUAAUACCGCAUACUAUCCUAUGAGCCUAGGUGGGCUUAGCUAGUUUGUGGGGUAAAGGCCUACCAAGCCGACGAUCCGUAACUGGUCUGAGAGGAUGAUCAGUCAAACUGGAACUUAGAAACGGCGCAGACUCCUACGGGAGGCAGCAGGGGGGAAUAUGGGAAAAUUGGCGAAAGCCUGAACCAGCCAUGCCGCGUGGGUGAAGAAGGUCUUCGGAUUGUAAAGCACUUUAAGUUGGGAGGCGUUACCAACAGAAUAAGCACCGGCUAACUUCGUGCCAGCAGCCGCGGUAAUUC
rnacentral:rRNA from 1 species